rnacentral:rRNA from 1 species
GAUGAACGCUGGCGGCGUGCCUAAUACAUGCAAGUCGAGCGAACGGACGAGAAGCUUGCUUCACUUAUGUUAGCGGCGGACGGGUGAGUAACACGUGGAUAACCUACCUAUAAGACUGGGAUAACUUCGGGAAACCGGAGCUAAUACCGGAUGAUAUUUUUAACCGCAUGGUUCAAAAGUGAAAGACGGUCUUGCUUUCACUUAUAGAUGUAUCCGCGCUGCAUUAGCUAGUUGGUAAGGUAACGGCUUACCAAGGCAACGAUGCAUAGCCGACCUGAGAGGGUGAUCGGCCACACUGGAACUGAGACACGGUCCAGACUCCUACGGGAGGCAGCAGUAGGGAAUCUUCGGCAAUGGGCGAAAGCCUGACGGAGCAACGCCGCGUGAGUGAUGAAGGUCUUCGGAUCGUAAAACUCUGUUAUUAGGGAAGAACAUAUGUGUAAGUAAAUGUGCACAUCUUGACGGUACCUAAUCAGAAAGCCACGGCUAACUACGUG